UUGAAGGAAAUGAGCUGUUUGUUUGAGUUUGUGUCUGCAACAGAAACAUUUGCCAAUCACUUGUGGUUUUUCAAGAACCUGGGAGCUGCUUGCGAACCAUUUCUGGAGAUCCACUUAUGUUCACCUUCGUUAUCGGCAGAUAAAGGAGCUGACUUGAAAUAGAAGAAACCCUGCAAAGCCAAUGCUCCAAAGAUAAAAAGGUAUGACUCUUAAGACCUCACGAUGUUGGAACAAAUCAGGCUAUGACAUGUAAUCAGAUGAAAGAGUUCCACCUUGAUUCAUGUGAAAUGCUUCAUCCUCAACACCUCGGUGACAAGUGGGGCGGGGUGCACCUACGAAGUACGAUACUGUAAUGCUCGGAAAACAAAUUAAUGAGAGCUUAAUUAGGAGGUAAUUGCCCAGUUACUUGCAGAUGGAAGCAGUUCUUCCUAACUGUAAUUUUGGUUGUUGAUGUUUUCCUUCUAGACAGGGACCUGUCGGUAGACUCAGCCCUGGCUUCUCCAUCUUGCCCAAAGAGUACAGAGCAGUUGUUCCAAGAAACCAGUGGGGCCCAGGUCAGCAUACUCUUUCUUUGGCUUCUGUGCCAGCCCCUGCAGGAAGCAUGGGUUGGUUAUAACCAGAUUAGGGCAACUGGGACCCAGUCCCCUCUAUUUUUCUAAGUCACUAGCAUCUCCCCCAGGAGAAAUGAGGAACUGAUCCAGGGGUGGAAGGAAUAAUCGUUCCUCCGCACGAACAGUGACCAGGCUCACAGAGCCCACGCAGUCCUAUCUUAUUCGUGGCUGCCAGCCCCCCCCCCCCCACCCCCCCAUGGAAACCUCGCCUACCUUCACAGGCGGUGCUUUGUGGAGACCACCCUGGCUCACUGUCCUCUUCACCCUCCUGCUACAUGACUGCACUCUUCUCAGCCCGAGAGGGUUGUCAGGGCUUCUUCCAGUCCCGAAAACCUUGGAUUCUGUCAUCCUAAGGAAUCCCAAACUGGAUCAUUCAGCGACUAGCUCUCUUUCCUCUUCACCUCCAAGCUUGAUUGACUAGGGAGAAAAAUCUGGCUUCCUACCCCCUGACUCCAUAAUCCAAAUACACUUAUCUGAGGCCUGUGGUUGUCCUCGGCCUGCUAGGAAGAUUAGGGGGUUAGUAUUGUGCCAGGAGCAGUGCCAAGUGCUCCAUGAGUAUUCUCAUUCCUUCCUCCCAACCAUCCUUUGAGGCAAUAGUUCUCUCCCAUUUUACAGGUGAGAACAUCAAGCGUCAGGUCAAGUCACAUGCCCCAGGUUAUGUAGCUCUUAGCAGCAGACCCAGGACAUGUUCCCAGGCCCCUCUGCAGCCGAAACUUGUACAACCAAAAUACCUUAGCUGGCUCCCAAGGAGCAAUCAGACUCCAACAGAUGGGAGCAACUUGAGUAAAUUAAACCCAAGGAAAGAAACGUCCCCUCCCUGCUCUUCUGAACCAAACUGCUGUGAAUUGCCUCGCAACUGACUGGAAAGCCUGCUAGGCUCACAAGAAUAGAACUCAGAGAACACCCUGUCCUGCCUGCCCCUGGAGAGACAGGAAGCAAAGCUGCGGUUUACCAAGUCCUGCUGGAGGGAGUAGAGAGUCGGCUUCCUCCUGGGCUCAGAGACUCCUGCAGAAUUAUUUCCAGAACCUUCCUCAGCCCAGCUGCCUGCAUGCUACCAGUCCUCACAGUGGAAUUUGCUGUUCCUAUGACAACACUCCUGCCGGCUCCCUCCCCCAGCUCACCUACAUCCCUGUGACCUCAUGGAAAGGCACAUUCUCGGGCAUCCAGACCAGAUAAGGAGGGUUUUGCAGUCUCUCUGGAAGCAUGGUGGUUAAGAGCACAUGUUUUGGAGUCAACAUACCUGAAUACUGCUGUUUGGUCAAGCCAUUUAAUCUCUCAUUGUCUCAGUUUCCUCAUCUGAAAACGGGUCGAUUGAUUCCAGAAGUUGAAAACUAACCCACCACGCUUACAUAAUUGUGACUCUGUGGGUAUGGUUAUCUCAGUGUGGCAACGCUACAUUACGCACCCCGUGGGUCCGCUGUCACAAUGGAGAGGACCUUCGAAAGGCACGGAGGACAGCUGGUUGGGUGUUUGGUGCAUAGGAGGGCGCGGAACAUGAUGGGUUCCCACACUUGAGCAAAUGUGUCAUUUUUUGCGGAUUCCUCACAGUUAAAACAACAAUCAAAUAAGGGCAGAGAUCAUGGAGUCCACCAUCCUACAGGAACUAAACUGUUGCCAAAAUGGGAAGGUCCCCUGUGAUCCACCCAAAUAAAAUCUUCCCACCCGCCAGCCUGCACGACCUCUAUAAUUAGCAAUUCGCUCCUUUGCAUUAAGCAAAGCCCUCAACGUGGUGUCAUCUAAUAUGCAAAUAUUUCUGGGAGGGCUGCCACACUAAGUGGCUGACAGCUAGGUGCCAUCCAGUCUUAUCAGAUAGCCGCUUUCCUGUGUGUCCGGAAGGGCGAGCCCGAGUUGGCUCUGAUAAGCGCGGCCCGAGCAGACGCUGUGGCCUGAGCCUGCCCUCCCUAGAAACUGGAGUGGGUGAUGGCUGAGCUCCCCUCACGUUAUAGCUCCCACUCUCACCGGUGACCCAAGCAGCUCUCCCAGGCCUGGGAGGCUGGUGUCAGGUAGCAGUGGAGGAACCUGAGGUACCACCGUGGCUCCAGCUGUUCCACCUCCCAACCCAGGCCCGGGCCUCCACCUGCCCCGAGCCAGUACGGGAAAGGAGGGGACAGAUAGAAAGAUAACCAGGGAAAGAAGGCUGAGGCUCCCGGGUGGCUCCAGGGAAAACCUGAAGGGGCGUUGGAAAAGAAGUCAAGGGGGGGGGGGGGCCCUGCCUGUCUCAAAAUUCUGGGGUUGGCCUAAACCGAGGAACGCUCUCUCCACUCCCCGUUUUUCCGUCCUAGCUGGCGCAAGAAUGAUUUGCUUCGUGUCUGACUCCACCAUAUGCUGCAAGCUCCCUGAGGGCAGGGCCUGCCCCGUCUUGUCUCCACAUGUCUUAUCCCCAGCACAGUACACAGCGGGUUGUGUGUGUGUCCAGCCAACGUGUGCUGACGGAAUGGAGCAUGAGCCCUAUGCUCUUUGGUUUGCAAAUGCCCUUCUCCCCAGCAGAUCUAGAACUUAUUUUUCACUGUCCUUGUGCAUCCGGGCAGUGUUAGCUCGUUACAUGUGGGUUGAAUCCAUUUGAAACGUUAAGAAUUAAAAGGAAAGGAUUGCCUCUUUGGCCAGUGCAAGGGUCUUCUGGGUUGCUUUAUGGCGUGCAUGUAGCAUAGUGUAUCAGACUUCUUGCAGCCCAAGGUUCCCUAUUAAGAGAAGGAGUGACCCACCUGCCAGGAAAAGUGGCUUUUUGGUGUCCAUUUGGCAGUAUUUACAAUAUUCUUUAAAAAAAAAAAAUUUAGGGGCGCCUGGGUGGCUUGGUCGGUUGAGUGUCCGACUUCGGCUCAGGUCACGAUCUCACCGUCCGUGAGUUCGAGCCCCGUGUCGGGCUCUGUGCUGACAGCUCGGAGCCUGGAGCCUGUUUCAGAUUCUGUGUCUCCCUCUCUCUCUGCCCCUCCCCUGUUCAUGCUCUGUCUCUCUCUGUCUCAAA